GACAGAGGGUGCAAACGUUGCUCGGAAUUACUGGGCGUAAAGCGCAUGUAGGCGGCUCUGUAAGUCGGAUGUGAAAGCCCUCGGCUUAACCGGGGAAGUGCAUUCGAUACUGCAGAGCUAGAGUAUCGGAGAGGGUCGUGGAAUUCCUGGUGUAGAGGUGAAAUUCGUAGAUAUCAGGAGGAACACCGGCGGCGAAGGCGGCGACCUGGACGAAUACUGACGCUCAGAUGCGAAAGCGUGGGUAGCAAACAGG
rnacentral:rRNA from 1 species